rnacentral:misc_RNA from 1 species
CGUGCGCGUUUCUCCGAUUCCUCGUCGUCUAAUCCUUUGGAUGCGUCGGCGUAGGUCUCGGGGCAGCGCGCCUCGCGAUGGGACGACGCGUGAGUGGCGAUUCGGAUAUGUAUCCAGUGCAGGCUCCGUGCGCUCAGCAUCGAACUUCAUUGGUCUAUAUCCCUUUCAUAGGUUGCUUCGCCCCGGCUUCGCACCGCCGGCGGCGACCGCUCUUUUGGUUCCUGUUUUGGUUAUCGUGUUCGGUAGACGGGCGGAUUCUGUUCCUCCCCCUUUCGUUGCUUUCCGAUCCCUCGCCUCGUGCGGCGGCGGAUACCGUGCUCGCAUUCGCGUUUCCAUCUCGAGUCGUCGAGCCCCGUUUGGAGCUUCGGCUUGCGAUGGCGCGUGAUGUGCGAGCGACACUCUCGGGUACGGAGAUAUUUUGUUUGACGCAUCGGUCCUCGGACCCAUGCGGAUGCGAUUAUCGAAGCCUCUUCGUUUCUUGACGUACGACCCUCGCGCUCGUCCGUGAGGAUCGCGGAUCCUUACGUUCCGCGAUCCUCUCGGGGAGCCGUCGAGCGAGGUCUACAAAGGAAUGCUACCUGGUUG